rnacentral:misc_RNA from 1 species
UAACUGCGUGCAGACGUGUGAACUGCAGGACACAUGAACACCGACGUUUUGAACGCAAAUGGCGGCUUGAAGUAAUGCUCAAGCCACGUCUGGCUGAGGGUCGGAUAUAACAUCAAAACUACACUAAGUCCUUAAAAAAGAGUUUCUGACUAAGUUUGAGCGUCAAGUUCUGUGGAGCUUGAUUAGAAUAAAGCAUGUCUUGAUUUGCCAAGUUUGGUCUGUAUGUAAGAGAGCAAGCAGCAAAUUCAUGUAAUUGAAAUUGAAUUUGUGAAAAAAAGGCCAAGACAAGCUUAGAUACUGUUCUCAUAUUUUUAUGUUGAACAAUAUUCACAGAUACGACCUCAGAGUAGGCGAGAUUACCCGCUGAAUUUAA